rnacentral:rRNA from 1 species
AACAAGGUCUCCGUUGGUGAACCAGCGGAGGGAUCAUUAUCGAGUUAUUCAACUCCCAAACCCUAUGUGAACUUACCACUUGUUGCUUCGGCGCGCGCUUCGGCGCCGCCGAGGACACUUAAACUCUUUGUUUUUAUAAGCAUUUCUGAGUGGCCGAAAGGCAAAAAUACAAAUGAAUCAAAACUUUCAACAACGGAUCUCUUGGUUCUGGCAUCGAUGAAGAACGCAGCGAAAUGCGAUAAGUAAUGUGAAUUGCAGAAUUCAGUGAAUCAUCGAAUCUUUGAACGCACAUUGCGCCCGCCAGCAUUCUGGCGGGCAUGCCUGUUCGAGCGUCAUUUCAACCCUCGAGCCCGACUCUUUUGAGGACGGCUCGGCGUUGGGGGACGGCAGACUCCCCCCGGCAUCUCGCCGGGGACGCCGCCCCCGAAAUCUAGUGGCGGCCCUCCGAGGCGACCUCUGCGUAGUAACUUGUUCUCGCACCGGAAAGCUCAGAGCGGCCACGCCGUAAAACCCCAACUUUUUUCAGGUUGACCUCGAAUCAGGUAGGACUACCCGCUGAACUUAAGCAUAUCA